UUCGGGGUACACGAGCGGCGAACGGGUGAGUAACACGUGAGCAACCUGCCCCUGACUCUGGGAUAAGCGGUGGAAACGCCGUCUAAUACCGGAUACGACCGGCCACCUCAUGGUGGCGGGUGGAAAGUUUUUCGGUCAGGGAUGGGCUCGCGGCCUAUCAGCUUGUUGGUGGGGUAACGGCCUACCAAGGCGAUUACGGGUAGCCGGCCUGAGAGGGCGACCGGCCACACUGGGACUGAGACACGGCCCAGACUCCUGCGGGAGGCAGCAGUGGGGAAUAUUGCGCAAUGGGCGAAAGCCUGACGCAGCGACGCCGCGUGGGGGAUGACGGCCUUCGGGUUGUAAACCUCUUUUACCACCAACGCAGGCUCCCAGUUCUCUGGGGGUUGACGGUAGGUGGGGAAUAAGGACCGGCUAACUACGUGCCAGCAGCCGCGGUAAUACGUAGGGUCCGAGCGUUGUCCGGAAUUAUUGGGCGUAAAGAGCUCGUAGGCGGCGUGUCGCGUCUGCUGUGAAAGACCGGGGCUUAACUCCGGUUCUGCAGUGGAUACGGGCAUGCUAGAGGUAGGUAGGGGAGACUGGAAUUCCUGGUGUAGCGGUGAAAUGCGCAGAUAUCAGGAGGAACACCGGUGGCGAAGGCGGGUCUCUGGGCCUUACCUGACGCUGAGGAGCGAAAGCAUGGGGAGCGAACAGGAUUAGAUACCCUGGUAGUCCAUGCCGUAAACGUUGGGCGCUAGGUGUGGGGACUUUCCACGGUUUCCGCGCCGUAGCUAACGCAUUAAGCGCCCCGCCUGGGGAGUACGGCCGCAAGGCUAAAACUCAAAGGA
rnacentral:rRNA from 1 species